CCGAGCAACGCCGCGUGAGUGAAGAAGGUUUUCGGAUCGUAAAACUCUGUUGGUAGAGAAGAACGUUGGUGAGAGUGGAAAGCUCAUCAAGUGACGGUAACUACCCAGAAAGGGACGGCUAACUACGUGCCAGCAGCCGCGGUAAUACGUAGGUCCCGAGCGUUGUCCGGAUUUAUUGGGCGUAAAGCGAGCGCAGGUGGUUUAUUAAGUCUGGUGUAAAAGGCAGUGGCUCAACCAUUGUAUGCAUUGGAAACUGGUAGACUUGAGUGCAGGAGAGGAGAGUGGAAUUCCAUGUGUAGCGGUGAAAUGCGUAGAUAUAUGGAGGAACACCGGUGGCGAAAGCGGCUCUCUGGCCUGUAACUGACACUGAGGCUCGAAAGCGUGGGGAGCAAACAGGAUUAGAUACCCUGGUAGUCCACGCCGUAAACGAUGAGUGCUAGAUGUAGGGAGCUAUAAGUUCUCUGUAUCGCAGCUAACGCA
rnacentral:rRNA from 1 species